GAUGAACGCUGGCGGCGUGCCUAAUACAUGCAAGUCGAGCGAACAGACGAGGAGCUUGCUCCUCUGACGUUAGCGGCGGACGGGUGAGUAACACGCGGAUAACCUACCUAUAAGACUGGGAUAACUUCGGGAAACCGGAGCUAAUACCGGAUAAUAUAUUGAACCGCAUGGUUCAAUAGUGAAAGACGGUUUUGCUGUCACUUAUAGAUGGAUCCGCGCCGCAUUAGCUAGUUGGUAAGGUAACGGCUUACCAAGGCAACGAUGCGUAGCCGACCCGAGAGGGUGAUCGGCCACACUGGAACUGAGACACGGUCCAGACUCCUACGGGAGGCAGCAGUAGGGAAUCUUCCGCAAUGGGCGAAAGCCUGACGGAGCAACGCCGCGUGAGUGAUGAAGGUCUUCGGAUCGUAAAACUCUGUUAUUAGGGAAGAACAAAUGUGUAAGUAACUAUGCACGUCUUGACGGUACCUAAUCAGAAAGCCACGGCUAACUACGUG
rnacentral:rRNA from 1 species